UGCUACCACCUAAGAUUGUGUUUACAACUCUAAUAGAGAUAUGUGAAGCAAGUUUGUGUAUGCAAUUUAAUAUUUUUUUUAUCCUGCUUAAUUGUUGUGGAGGUGAUUGUCAUUGUUUGGCCACUGCAUUGCUGUAGCACUUGGAUAUGAGGUCUUGUUUGCUUUUUUUGCAAUGUAUCUGUUUUGGGGUUGAUAUACAUAAAAAUGGUGCUUGCUGUGUUAUGUAAUCUUUCUAUGGAUUUUACUGUUUUAUAUUUUUUCUAUGAUAGUGGUCAUCGUGGCAAGCAAUUUCUGACACUUUGUGGUAAUAAGUACUGCAGGGAAAAUAAAAAUUUG
rnacentral:misc_RNA from 1 species